UCUUGUGGAUGAGCAAUAAAAAUGGUUUCUUGAAACAGAACUAUUCCUGGUGAAGAUGCUGUGAA
rnacentral:pre_miRNA from 1 species